UCCACACUAUUUUUUUCCAAUUUUAAUUAUUUUCUUUUCUUUUCAGGUAAAAACAGCGGGGCUUAACUGCGAUCCGUAUGUCGGGCGGUCGCACGAGCAAGGUUUCCCCCCCUGUUUGCCAAUGGUCUACUGCGGAUUGGCAAUCCCCACUACUAUAAGAAAAGUAGACCAUUCCGACAAAAAAAAAUAAUAAUGUAAAAAUCUUUAAGAGCACGGCCAUGUGGUGAGGCGCCGAUGUCGCUGGCCAAGCCGGAUAGUGCUCGAAACUCGUCCCACUAAGGUCCCCCCACGCAAAAUUUUUUUUUUAGACAUACACCCUACAGUCGGCACCCCCAGAGUCCCACCGCAACAAAACACCGGGUUUCGAGAUGAGGAACAUGAGGAGAACGGUGUGCGUGGAAAUUAAUGGCCUACGUGGGGAACUCCCACGCCCUGGAGUCUCACAGCCGGGCAAAGCAAAAUUAUGUACUUCAUAUUGCGGAUAAGGUUUUCUGUCGAAAGUGUAUAAUACUGGAGGAUUCUCAGAUAAGUCGGGAUAUACAUUUUCAUUUAAGGAUUUUACUUUGUGGUAAUUUUUUUGACUUUCAGGUACCUAGACAGUCAAAUGGACUAGAUCUUAUAUUGCACUAUGGGAAAUCUUAAGGUUAUUUCCUGCACUGCAGGCGAAAUAGGAUAAUGGCGA